rnacentral:rRNA from 1 species
GCUAAGGCCCCUAAAUAAAUGCUAAGUGGCAAAGGAGGUGGAAAUGCAUAAACAACCAGGAGGUUUGCUUAGAAGCAGCAACCCUUUAAAGAGUGCGUAAUAGCUCACUGGUCUAGUGUUUCUGCGCCGAAAAUGAACGGGACUAAGCAUUUUGCCGAAGCUGUGGGAUGUUUAACAUCGGUAGGGGAGCGUUCUAUUGUAGAUUGAAGCAUUAGCGUAAGCGGAUGUGGACGAAAUAGAAGUGAGAAUGUCGGCUUGAGUAGCGAAAACAUUGGUGAGAAUCCAAUGCCCCGAAAAUCCAAGGUUUCCUUCGGAAGGCUCGUCCUCGAAGGGUAAGUCAGGACCUAAGAUGAGGUUGAAAAACGUAAUCGAUGGACAACGGGUUAAUAUUCCCGUACUGCUUCUACUGGUACCGAGGGACGGAGAAGGCUAAGUUAGCCGAAUGCUGGUUAUCGGUUUAAAUAUGCAAGGCGUUGAUAAGUGGAGAAAACACUUUGAGCUAACAUAUGAGUACAAGGUGCUUCGGCACUAAAGUAACUGAUGUCAUACUUCCAAGAAAAGCUCGAAAUACCAUAAGUAGAAAGUACCUGUACCCUAAACCGACACAGGUGGAUAGGUCUAGUAUACCAAGGGGCGCGAGAUAACUCUCUCUAAGGAACUCGGCAAAAUAAACUCCGUAACUUCGGGAGAAGGAGUGCC